CCUACGGGCGGCUGCAGUGGGGAGUAUUGCACAAUGGGCGCAAGCCUGAUGCAGCCAUGCCGCGUGUGUGAAGAAGGCCUUCGGGUUGUAAAGCACUUUCAGCGGGGAGGAAGGCGGUGAGGUUAAUAACCUCAUCGAUUGACGUUACCCGCAGAAGAAGCACCGGCUAACUCCGUGCCAGCAGCCGCGGUAAUACGGAGGGUGCAAGCGUUAAUCGGAAUUACUGGGCGUAAAGCGCACGCAGGCGGUCUGUCAAGUCGGAUGUGAAAUCCCCGGGCUCAACCUGGGAACUGCAUUCGAAACUGGCAGGCUAGAGUCUUGUAGAGGGGGGUAGAAUUCCAGGUGUAGCGGUGAAAUGCGUAGAGAUCUGGAGGAAUACCGGUGGCGAAGGCGGCCCCCUGGACAAAGACUGACGCUCAGGUGCGAAAGCGUGGGGAGCAAACAGGAUUAGAUACCCUUGUAGUC
rnacentral:rRNA from 1 species